AUGCUAUGCCAGUCAACAGCCUUUUUAACUUUCGAAGUCUGGAACGGUCUGGUUUCCUGGGUGGUUUCUUUCUCUUUCCUUUUCCUUUUUGUGCACUCAACCCAGUCUCGCUCUCUGUCUGAGUCUGAAAUGUCCCCUCCUCGUUCCUUAGCCAUCUCCUUUUUUUGCUGGCUUUCCAGAGAGAUCAAGAAACGCAUCUCUUCAGAUUACAAACUAGCCAAAACUGGUGCCUUGGCAAGCAAAGAGAUCUUUGAAGAGGAAUUUCAGCGAGGCCUUCCUAGUUAGAGAAACACCCGGCUGUGUUUGAAGAGCACUGGAGAAUCGAAAUCCAAAUAUCUGGGCGAGUGAAAAAUAACUAGGUAUUAAAGCCGAUUUGUAAUUUGCUGCGGGCGGAAUGCGGGGAAAUCUCCCCACGUACAGAACCACGUGUGAACAGCAGGAUGGGAAAUUAUCUCUUCUCAACAUUCUAUAUUCUCAGUAGGUAGUAAGAGUUGAGGUACAACUCAAUCUGGGCUGCGGUACUAAGCAGGACUCUGAAAUCAUGUGAUACAUUGAUUUUUUUAAAAAAAAGAAUCAUAUACAUAUCAGUGAGAUGGUAAGAAAAGAAAACCAUGAAUAAACACAUAUAUGCAGCUCUUCUGGAUCUUCUGCAUAGCGAGGCAUGUUUUCUUCUCUACAGAACUUUUUACAUCGUCGAGCCUAAGAUUAUUUUAGAACAUGUUUCAUAAGAGUUCGAUUUUUUUUAUCAAAUAUUUUCUCAGAUUACUCCAAUCUGUCUUUUGUCUUGGCGGAUUAUUCUGAGAUAUUGAAUGUGUUAAUAAAUCCACUCUUUUGAAAGAAUAUUUAAAAUAAGAGAAGAAGAAAAGUAGAUUCCCAACCAUAAAAAAUAGCACCAACAAUUGGGAAGUUAUCCUUCCUUAAAGAAAUGUAUAUUUCUCUAUAAAUAUAUGGACCUUUUUUAAACCUCGAUGGAAGAGAUCGGAAGUUGACAAACUCUUUUUUUUUUCUCUUUUUUUUUCUUCUCUUAUUUUUUUCUGCUCACCAUUUUCUUGCUACUUUCCUACUUUUCUUUACUAUUUAUGUUCUCCCACUUUUAUUGUAAUGAAAAUUUGUUGUAUAACAUGAUGUUUUGGUGCGUAAUUUGUAAAAUCAUAACCUAAUUUGAUGUGUAAUAGGCUUUUCCUUAAUCUCUCCUUAUUAUCCAACCUAUUUGCUUAUCCGACCUUCUUCCGGCCCGUUUAUGUUGGAUAAGUGAGGCUCUACUGUAUGUUGUUUGGGAUGUUCCCAAAAAAAGAGAUCUGGGUACCCAACAAAAUUCGGAGACCAAAAACAGAUCGCCCUCCAGCCAAAUUGCACAUGCCUAAUUUCUAUCAGUUUCAUUUCUUGAUCCAGGCCUGAUUUUUUUAAAAAAAAAUGCCUUGGGGUGCAUCUACAUUAUUGAAUUAAUAUAAUUUGACCCAACUUUAACUGCCUGCCAUAGAUGUGGGUGAAACGUCAGGAGAGAAUGCUUCUGGAACAUGACCAUACAGCUUGGAAAACUCACAGCAACGCAGAUUUAGAGAGCUCAGGUAUAUCUCAUUUAACAAAAUAGAUAUGUCCAUGACCCUACUCCCUUAUGAGAAAGUUAUGAGGCAGAAAUAACACGGAAAGAACGGGGAGGGAUUCUGCAAGAUGCAAAAGAAAAAUCCAAUGUUAUGAUUUUUAUUUAGACCUAACAAUAGGCACAUGUGAAAUAAAGCAACUCGGUCAUGUAAGCCUUGCAUAAGUAAACAGUAUUUUGCAUUUUCUAAAAGUCCCUUUUUCUUAUGGGUUCCACCAAGAGUUAAUCCAAUUGCUCGGGGAGUGCGACUGGGCGGCUUGGUUUUGCAUUAGUUUUGUUUUAUGCUUGAAAUUUCCAUGCCUCAUACCAAUCACGUCCUCCGCUGUGAAUUCAUUAGCAGCAAGCUGCUAAUUAAAUUCUGUAUUUAUGAUUGGAAAAUAAAAUCAUCGGACCUUUUUAAAAUAGAUUUUUACAACUCCGAGCCCAGGCAGCUGACUCAGCAAUCGGGGAGGCAAAGCUUCCGACUUAAAGGCUUCCAUGAGAAAGAUUAGAUAGAAUGAGAAAUGACACUUCAAAAGACUUAUCCGAAAUCCCCCUUCGUUUUUGGGCCGGAUUGAGUUUUCAGAGCCAGGAAAACAACAACAUUGCAUUGUGCGCCUGGUGUUCGGUGUCACCUGAAACAAUAUCAGGCACCGUUAUCAAGGGCUCCCGAAUGCAAGUGUUGUUGUUAUUCCAAAUACAUUUUAAUAAAUCUUUUUGAUUAGAGACACACAAUUCAGCAUGAAGAAGAACAGAUUCCCAGACUUUAUGAUAGCAUAGAUGGAUGCAUUGGUUGAAAACCCCGCAGCUAAACAAGGGGUACAUCUACAUGGCUGAACUGCUGACCUGAAGGUUGGGUUACUGACUUGAAGGUUGUUGGUUAAACUCCUGUCUGUCAGCUCUAGCUUGCGGGAACAUGAGAGAAGCCUCCCAGUAACACAUCCAAGCGUUCCCUGGGCAAUGUCUCUGUAGACCUCAAACUUUUUAAGUGGACAGCCGAUCUACAGUCCCUCAGACUGUUGCGGGACCGGACUAUGAUGAAAUAGUAAAAAAAUAGAAUUGUUGUUGUUGUGUGCCUUCAAGUCGUUUCAGACUUAGAUCAACCCUAAGUCUAAGGUUUAGGACAGAAGCCAGGGAAAUGGCCUUGGAGGGCCUUAGUUUGGGGACCCCUGAUCUAGAUGAUCUCAUAAGACCAUAGGUAAGUAAAUAGACCUCCAAAACCCACCUAGAUGGUCUCAUAAGACCAUAGGUAAGGAAAGGGACCCUCAAAGGCCAUCUAGACGGUCUCAUAAGGCCAUCGCUAAGCAAAGAGACCUUCAAAGACCGUCUAGUUGAUCUCAUAAGACCAUAGGUAAGGAAAGAAACCUCCAAAAACCAUCUAGAUUGUCUCAUAAGACCAUAGGUAAGGAAAGGGACCCUCAAAGACCAUCUAGAUGGUUUCAUAAGACCAUGGGUAAGGAAAGGGACCCUCAAAGGCCAUCUAGACAGUCUCAUAAGGCCAUAGCUAAGCAAAGAGACCUUCAAAGACCGUCUAGUUGAUCUCAUAAGACCAUAGGUAAGGAAAGAAACCUCCAAAAAACAUCUAGAUGGUCUCAUAAGACCAUAGGUAAGGAAAGGGACCCUCAAAGGCCAUCUAGAUGAUUUGGAAAGGAGUCCCCAAAGGCCAUCUAGAUGAUCUCAUAAAACCAUAGGUAAGGAAAGUGACCUCCAAAUGCCAUCUAGAUGGUUUCAUAAGGCCGUAACUAAGUAAAGAGACCUUCAAAGACCAUCUAGACAGUCUCAUAAGACCAUAGGUAAGCAAAGAGACCUCCAAAAACCAGGUAAACUUAGGUCAACCCUAAGUCUAAAGUUUAGGACAGGGGCCACGUAAAUUACCUUGGAGGGCCACAUCUGACCCACGGGCCUUAGUUUGGGGACCCCUGCUGUAGACGGCCAGUUCUCUCAUGCCAGAAGCAACUAUGUCCUCAAGUUCCCAGAGCCUCAGUGACCAUGCUGGCUGGAGCAUCCUGGGAAUAGAAGUCCAAAAAGUAAUAUUCCCAUGCUCUUUGUGAUAGUAACCUUUUACCUUAAAGAAAUGACCUUUUCCAAGCUCUGGGUUUUGAAACAGAUUCAUCUGUGAUGGUUGUUUCCC
rnacentral:lncRNA from 1 species